rnacentral:rRNA from 1 species
UACGUAGGGUGCGAGCGUUGUCCGGAAUUAUUGGGCGUAAAGGGCUUGUAGGCGGUUUGUCGCGUCUGCUGUGAAAAUCCGGGGCUCAACCCCGGACUUGCAGUGGGUACGGGCAGGCUAGAGUGUGGUAGGGGAGACUGGAAUUCCUGGUGUAGCGGUGAAAUGCGCAGAUAUCAGGAGGAACACCGAUGGCGAAGGCAGGUCUCUGGGCCACUACUGACGCUGAGAAGCGAAAGCAUGGGGAGCGAACAGG